rnacentral:rRNA from 1 species
UACGUAGGGUGCAAGCGUUAAUCGGAAUUACUGGGCGUAAAGCGCGCGUAGGCGGCUUUGUAAGUUAGAGGUGAAAGCCCGGGGCUCAACCCCGGAAUUGCCUUUAAGACUGCAUCGCUUGAAUCCAGGAGAGGUGAGUGGAAUUCCGAGUGUAGAGGUGAAAUUCGUAGAUAUUCGGAAGAACACCAGUGGCGAAGGCGGCUCACUGGACUGGUAUUGACGCUGAGGUGCGAAAGCGUGGGGAGCAAACAGG